rnacentral:rRNA from 1 species
CACGUAGGGUGCGAGCGUUGUCCGGAAUUAUUGGGCGUAAAGAGCUCGUAGGCGGUGUGUCGCGUCGGCCGUGAAAACCUGCAGCUUAACUGUGGGCUUGCGGUCGAUACGGGCAUCACUGGAGUUCGGCAGGGGAGACUGGAAUUCCUGGUGUAGCGGUGAAAUGCGCAGAUAUCAGGAGGAACACCGGUGGCGAAGGCGGGUCUCUGGGCCGAUACUGACGCUGAGAUGCGAAAGCCAGGGGAGCAAACGGG